UAAUGUAUGGGGAUCUGCCCGAUAGAGGGGAAUAACUACUGGAAACGGUGGCUAAUACCGCAUAAUGUCUACGGACCAAAGCAGGGGCUCUUCGGACCUUGCACUAUCGGAUGAACCCAUAUGGGAUUAGCUAGUAGGUGGGGUAAAGGCUCACCUAGGCGACGAUCUCUAGCUGGUCUGAGAGGAUGAUCAGCCACACUGGGACUGAGACACGACCCAG
rnacentral:rRNA from 1 species